UGAGUCGGUCGGGUGACCGCGGCGAGGAGACUCGUCGAGGAAAGUCGGGACUCCACGGGGCAGGAUGCUGGCGCGAGCCAGGUGGGGGCGACCUCACGGACAGUGCAACAGAGAGAGACCGCCGAUGGCCGGGCAACCGGAUCAGGUAAGGGUGAAACGGUGCGGUAAGAGCGCACCAGCACGACGAGUGAUCGGCGUGGCUCGGCAAACCCCAUCCGGAGCAAGGUCAAGCAGAGGAGACGGGCGGCCCGUCCAGCCCGGGCAACCGGGUCGCUCCUCGGGUAGGCCGCACAGAUGGAUGGUCACCGAGUCGGUUCGUCCGACUCACAGAAUCCCGCUUACAGACCGACUCACCGU
rnacentral:RNase_P_RNA from 1 species